CCCAGACUCCUACGGGAGGCAGCAGUGGGGGAUAUUGCACAAUGGGGGGAACCCUGAUGCAGCGACGCCGCGUGGGUGAAGGAGCGUUUCGGCGCGUAAAGCCCUAUCGGCAGGGAAGAAGGAGGACGGUACCUGACUAAGAAGCCCCGGCUAACUACGUGCCAGCAGCCGCGGUAAUACGUAGGGGGCAAGCGUUAUCCGGAUUUACUGGGUGUAAAGGGGGCGCAGACGGCAGCGCAAGCCAGGAGUGAAAGCCCGGGGCCCAACCCCGGGACUGCUCUUGGAACUGCGCGGCUGGAGUGCAGGAGGGGCAGGCGGAAUUCCUGGUGUAGCGGUGAAAUGCGUAGAUAUCAGGAGGAACACCGGUGGCGAAGGCGGCCUGCUGGACUGCGACUGACGUUGAGGCCCGAAAGCGUGGGGAGCAAACAGGAUUAGAUACCCCAGUAAU
rnacentral:rRNA from 1 species